GUGUUUUUUCACCCCCAGGGGGUAACAGAGGGAUGAAACUUUGUGCAGAGUAUAACCUCCCCAAAAGGAAUCGUUUGAUUACAGUUUCGGCCCAAAAUCGCUGGGGCAAUUUUUCCUAGGCUAUCCUGCUACAAUUGGAAAAUCAAUAUAUUUAAAUUUUUCAUUGCAAUAAUUUUCAUAUAAUGUCAAUUGUGCUGCGUCACGCUCUCCCCAAAUAAUCUUAUUACAUAAGUACUAUAUUACUUGUAAUAUUAUUAUUUCUAAUUAAAUUUAAAUUACAAACUAAUUCUAACGGAUGAUGGUCCGACCAGUACACGUCAUAAUGUAUUUUUAUACUCCGUAUUAGUUUCCGUGCCGCUUCAGAUACUACACAGUGAUCCAGCCAGCUUUUAGUACCAUUAAUAUCACUAACAUAGGUGUAUGUAUCCGAGGCCACUCCUAGAAUGUCUAUGUCCGCACAUUGCCAUCUAACAUCCGCACAAAAGUCUAACAACUCCUUACCGAAUCGUCUGCCCGGGUGAGCGUUGAAAUCCCCUAAUAUGAAGACGCAGUCUACCUGGCACUCCUCCACUAUUGCCGCCAUUUCCCCUAGGCAUUCCGUAAAUUCGGUAAGAGUCUCCGCAGAAUCGACGGGCAUGUACACAGAGAACACCAAGAGCGAACGAUCCGAUAACACUAUCUUUACAGCAGCGAGUCGCGCACUUUUACAAUGCACAAUCGAAACCGAUGUAAAUAAACAUUUCCGCCACAAUAACGCCACACCGUGCACCGCCGUACGGCCUACCGCGUAAAAUCCCAGCUCCAGUAUCGACCGCCGAUGCUACACCCUUUCGUAAAAAUAUUGUCACCGAAAUUUAAAUGCGACUUUCCUCAGUGAGACAAGCUUUCGUCAUAAUGAUGAUGCCUUUCAUUCAUGAAUGUAAAUAAAUGUGGUUAACUUUACUUGAUGUUUAAUUUUAUUAACCUUUAAUAAUGAACUCACUACUGAGGUGAAAAGUUGCGUGUCACACGAGAGCAGUUAUUUUACAUCUCGUGUUUUUAACUCCCUCGCUACGCUCAAGAUUCUAACUUAGAAUCACUCGCUUCGUGAUGCAAUUAUAGAAUCUUUCGCUUACUCAAAAUCAACACUCGCAAGAAAAACCAACUUUCCUGUCUUGUUGCACAAAUAACUAUGUACAGUACAUAUGGUGCUACUUUACCGCACUAGUGCGAAAAUUAGCGUAUUACGUUACUGUGUCGAACAUUUAAAGGCCCAUAUGUACUGUAAAACGUUGUACGAUACAUGUGCAAAUAGGUAAUUCGCAACUCGUGCCGAUUUAAAACACUCCCUUCGGUCGUGUUUUAAUUUAUCGCCACUCGUUUCGAAUUUCCUAUUUUCGCACUAGUAUCGUAAUGUACUAUUACAGUACAUACGGUGCUACUAUAGUGUUACGCACUAGUGUGUAAAUUAGCACAUUAUGUAACUAAGUAUGUCGAAAAUUUAAAGGGUCAUAUGUACUGUAAAACGUUGUACGACACAUGUGCGAAUAGGUAAUUCGCAACUCUUGUCGAUUUAAAAGACUCCCUUCGGUCGUGUUUCAAUUUAUCGCCACUAAUGUAUCGUAAAUAACUAUUAUACAAUCGUGAUAUAAUAAAUAAAUAUUAUAGGACAUUAUUACACAAAUUGACUAAGUCCCACAGUAAGCUCAAUAAGGCUUGUGUUGAGGGUAAUUGGUUAGUCUUAUUUGCAGGCAAUAACGGACCAGCGUUGGACCAAAAAUGUUACGUCAUGGAAAGGGCCACUAGGGAAACGGGGUAUAGGAAAACCUGUUACUAGAUGGGAAGACGAAAUAAAAAAUAUAGCUGGUCAAAACUGGAUGCGAAUAGCUCAAGAUAGAGAUGAGUGGAAAACUCUGGAGGAGGCCUUCACCUGUGAAGACGGGGUUCUUGCUACAUAUUAAAAUUCAUUUUGAAAUAGUUUUAGAGCUGCCAUUGGGAAGCUAUAAGUAAUUAAGUUUGCUUAUAGUUUUUUGAUGUUGGUUCUAAAAUUAUUUUAACUUAACUCUAAACAACAAUGUUAAAAUGUUAAAAUUUCGCAAGAAAUAAAAGGCUAUUUUAUUUUAUUUAUUUAUUAUUUAUUUGCAGGUUCAUACAUUUGCCAUUUAAUGCAAGUAGCUAAUGUAUGAACUCGCAAUAAACACUAAUCAAUGUAUAAACAGACCCCAAUGUCAGCCUCACAUACCUGAAUGGGCUGUGUGCCACACUUUCCCAUGCUGACCUUACAUGAAGUUGAAUUGAACAUAGGUACAGUUAGCUGCAAAAAGUAUGUAUCGAAAGAAUUGUACUUGGUACUACACUCUUAUUACGCUGCGGGCUUAGCAUGGUCUUAGUUAUCACGCGAUAUGGUGACAAUCUUGUUGUUAAAAUGACAGUUUUCUUCGAUUUUAUCGUUCACACUACGGUUGCAGACGAUAAUAGGAGUUAUCCACAUUUGACAGCGAUAGAUGACAAUCGACAAUUUGCAUAACAUGGUCGUCGGAUAAUUUGACACAUUAUCCCAUUUUGGCAGUUCAAUAUAGUUAAUUUUAUCUACGUGCUUCUUAGGUCACGACAAGCGUUGUCGUGGAUGCAAAGCUCAUGAAAAAACCUAUGUUAAGGUAUAAAUUAUCAGUAAGUAUCCGUUUUUCUAUGAUUUUAUUGAGUGUUAGUUAUUGAGUGUUAGUUAGUUAGUUAGUAGUGUAACUCCUCUGGAGUUGCAGGUGUACAUAGGCUACGGAGACUGCUUACCAUCAGGCGGGCCGUAUGCUUGUUUGCCACCGACGUAGCAAAAAAAAAAAAGUUCCGCUGCAUAUAAUAUUGUCAAUAUUUUCUUUGCAGGGAUGUCGAGAUUUUUUUUCUUCCAGCUCGCAACUGCUGCAGAGGAAAAAGAAAGAAGAAGGAUUCAGCGACGAUCUUUGAGGGACGCUGCAAACCCCUUUGAUAUGCCGGACGAAGAGUUCCGUCAUAUAUACAGAGUACGAAAGGAGUUAGUGUUAUAUAUUUGUGAAGAACUCAACGCCGACCUCCAGCCUCACAAGGGUGAUGAAUUGCCAUCUCACCUUAAGACUUAAAGACCAAUGGAUAAUAGUUUUUCCUGGAACUGAUCGGUCCCGACGAUCAGUUGCCUCAGGAUUUGAGGAUGCAUAUGGUCUGCCAAAUAUCUUGGGUGUAGUAGACUGCACUCAAGUGAAAAUAUUUCCCACCUGUGCCACACGGAGUGCAAUAUCUGAAUCGGAAAGGCGUUCACGCUCUUAAUGUACAGCUAGUAAGUUUCAAUUUUAGUUACAAAUAAUGAUUUUUUUAUAUUAAUCAUAAAAUCCUCAUCACUGACCACAAUGUAUGUAUAUUAUAAUUAAAUAAAGAAAUAUAAAUACUAUGGGACAAUCUAACACAAAUCGACUAAGAUAAUGAUGUACCUAAUCUAGAUUGAUUAUAAUAAUUCAUUAAAAUAAUAACUUAUAUGUUACUACUUGGUUGUCACCAAUUCUCAAAUAAGAAUAUAAAUAACCUUAUAUCUUCAGAUUGCAGAUGUCAACUGUAAGAUCUUGGCAGUAAACACGAGGUUUCCUGGCCGUGUGCACGACUCUUUCAUAUUUAACAAUUCGUCCAUUUAGGAUGAAUUAAGAAGAUUGUACAAUGGCCACAUUGGGGAGUAUUUCCUUCUGGGUAAGCAGAAAAUUGUGUAUCUGUACCUAGUGUAAAUUUAUUCGAUGGGGAGACGUGACGUACGCGUUUGCGUUAACUGUCAUUUUGUAUGGAAUUUUGAGUUUCCAAAACAUCCCGCUUGGCGCGCUGUUUCUAAAUCCCUUAGCACCACUUGCACCAUUUCACUAACUCGGGGUUAACUGGUUAACCCUGGAGUUACCAUGUUACCAGUACAAUUUCACAUUGGGUUAACGGUUUAACCGGUUAACCCCGGGUUAUUGGAAUGGGGCAAGUGCAUGUUAGUAAAUGUACUAAGAUCACGACCACAGAAUAAAUAGUUCAUGACUAAGUUAAUAUACCUAUCAUAAUGUAAAUAACCGGCCAAGAGCAUGUCGGGCCACGCUCAGUGUAGGGUUCCGUAGUUACUCUUCCGUCACAAUAAGCUAAACUGGAGCUUAAAGUGUAGUAAAUGGUACCUUUCACCCGAGUUAAACAAAUAGGCAAAUUUGCAUAAUCAGUACCUAAUUAAAGAAGUCUUUUUACUAUGAAGGGAAAACUUUUUGCGAUAACUCAAAAACAGCUAAACUGAUCAUGUCCGCUAUAGUUUUCAUUUAAUGUCUUUCUUAAGCUCUACUUCCACGAUUUUUUUCAUAUUUUUUGGACCUAUGGUUCAAAAGUUAGAGGGGGGGGACACAUUUUUUUUUUUUCUUUCGGAGCGAUUAUCUCCGAAUAUAUUCACUUUAUCAAAAAAUGUUUCUUGAAAACCCCUAUUAGUUUUGAAAGACCUUUCCAACGAUACCCCACACUUUAGGGUUGAAGCGAAAAAAAAAAUUCACCCCCACUUUACGUGUAGGGGAGGUACCCUAAAAAAAAUUAAAAUUUUAGAUUUUAUUGUACGACUUUGUCGGCUUUAUUGAUUUAUAUAUCCAUGCCAAAUUUCAGCUUUCUAACACUAACGACCACGGAGCAAAGCCUCGGACAGACAGACAGACGGACAUGGCGAAACUAUAAGGGUUCCGUUUUAUGCCAUUUGGCUACGGAACCCUAAAAAGGCAUAAGCAAGGGGGAAGUUUCGUUAGUUGUUCAGAUGAUUAAGUAUUAUGUAACCAAAAAAUAAUAAUUUCAGGUGACUCGGGGUAUGCUCUUGAGCCAUGGCUCAUGACGCCAGUGCUGAAUCCUGCCCCGGGAAGCCCAGAAGCAAGAAAUGUUCCCGAGGAAAUCGUAGGAGAUAUUGAUGAAGACGCUCCUCAAGAACUUCCUCAUCGUCAUGCGCAAAACGGACUACUAUUAAGAGUGGCGCAGGAAAAGCGUGCGCGUCUAAUAAAUACAUAUUUUGCUUA